rnacentral:rRNA from 1 species
UACAGAGGGUGCAAGCGUUAAUCGGAAUUACUGGGCGUAAAGCGAGCGUAGUCGGUUAUUUAAGUCGGAUGUGAAAUCCCCGGGCUCAACCUGGGAAUUGCAUUCGAUACUGGAUAGCUAGAGUUCGGCAGAGGGAAGCGGAAUUUCGGGUGUAGCGGUGAUAUGCGUAGAUAUCCGAAGGAACAUCAGUGGCGAAAGCGGCUUCCUGGACCAGAACUGACGAUCAGGCUCGAAAGCGUGGGGAGCAAACAGG